CUGAAUUGAGCCCAAAUACAGGAGCGAAUUUGCUCCCACGCACGGAGGCCUCCCGCAAUAUAGACCUCCACCUCUCCGUUUUUGGUUGAAUUGACCAGCUCCUGCAAAAGAAAAUGAUUGGAGCGAGACCCGCCUUCUUUCCCCUGCGUGAGACCUAAGGGCUGGAGGAGCCACCCCCAGGCAGCACACCGACGGCGGCGGCGGCGGCGCAGCGCCCAGGUAAGCUCCUCUUGCCGGCCCUCCUCCUCCUCCUACGGUAACGGCAUACCCACCGCCACAGCUUGUUCCCCUUCCUCCUAUGGCGUCCCAUCUCCUCUGCCGCUCGAUGUCCUCCUCCCAUGGCCGCCAUGGCUGGGAUCUAGCCAUCCACCGCCGCUCCUCCCCCCAUACCUCUGCUUCGGCGUCCCUCCAUGCCACAGGACCCGCCCCUCCUCUGCCGCCGUUCUCCCAUCUCUUCGGCUCCUUCCACAUGUGCUCUGCUGUCAGAUCCCCUCUACUGUCCUCUCCUUCUUCCCAAGCUUUCUUGCUUUAAUGUUCCCCUGAUAUGGAAUUGGUCCAGCCUUCCAUGUUCUCUUGAUUGACUAUCAUCCUUGCAAUGAAC
rnacentral:rRNA from 1 species